AAACUGCAGUUUGUCAGAGAUCAGCUGUGCUGCUCUGGUCAGUGCACUGAAGUCCAACCCCCCUUAUCUAAAACACGUGGAUAUAAUAGGAAACAACCUGGAGGAUUCAGGAAUGAAACAGCUGUGCGAUUACCUGGAGAGCCCACACUGUAGACUGGAGACUUUAAGACUGACUUCUUUGCUUUAGAUUCUGUACUGUGGUUGAGACACACAGUGAUGCCUACAGAGUGAUCCUUGAAGUCAAAGACUGAUUCUACCCAGACGUCUUCAAUCUGUUGCAGAGUGUACAAAGACAGACAAAGACAGUGUGGCCUUAACUCCAACUGCCUUUCCAUGCUGGAUGACUCUUAUGACUCCAGUGGAUGUGUCAGUACUGACAUAAUCACAUUCCUAAGCUCUGAGACAUUCAGAUACAUUCAGAAACAACUUUCAUUGCAUUCAUUUCACAUGCAAGGAUGCACUGAGGAGACCACAGUAAGAAUGCUGUGCACUCAAAAAGCAGAGAUGCCCAUGCAAACUAGAGGAUCAAAGGACUGUCCUUUGAUCUGAAAGAGUCACUAAGCUCUGGAACAAGUGCUGGAAUAUGUUAUUGGCAAAACUGAUCACUUAUUUUCUGCCUCUAUCAAAUCUCCUGAGUUGAAUGUUACUUUUACUUUUACAGUGGCUGCUCUCCAGCUGGUCUUGAGGCCAGGCUUUGCUUGGGCAGGUCCUGCUUUAUUACUUUGCUAUGAAGCAUUGUAGUAAUUUCAGGGUGCACAUUAUCGUGCUAGUGGUGUUGCAUUAGUGCUCCAGCAGUGUGUUAGUCAGUGCUGUGUUAUAUUACAGUUCAAAAACAUGUGUGUCACAUGUUUACUGUGUUGAAUGGUAAUCUGCGCACUACUGAGAAAAGACAGAUAGUUAAAGAAGCAUGGUGCAGUAAAAAGUAACACCCCGCUCACACCUCUUAGCUU